UACGGGGGGAGCAAGCGUUGUUCGGAUUUACUGGGCGUAAAGGGCGCGUAGGCGGCCACCGCAAGUCGACUGUGAAAUCUCCGGGCUUAACCCGGAAGGUCAGCCGAUACUGCGGGGCUAGAGUGCAGAAGGGGCAACUGGAAUUCUCGGUGUAGCGGUGAAAUGCGUAGAUAUCAAGAGGAACACCUGAGGUGAAGACGGGUUGCUGGGCUGACACUGACGCUGAGGCGCGAAAGCCAGGGGAGCAAACGGG
rnacentral:rRNA from 1 species